rnacentral:ncRNA from 1 species
GACCCAAAAGGUGGUGAACUAUGCCUGGACGGGGUGAAGCCAUAGGAAACUCCAGCGGAGGUCCAUAGCGGUCCUGACAUGCAAAUUGGUCGUCCAACCUGGGUAUAUGGGGCGAGAAACCUCAGAAAUCUAAUUAUGUUCUUGUCUUAGG